UCGUCGAAGACCUGAAGUCUUCGACACAACAAACUCUUUCAAUUGCCUUUGGAAAGUGUGAUCAGCGUAUAAUUAGUUCCAAAGUUCCAACUCUUUCGUUAGGAAGCCUGAUUCAGCUACCAUCCAAGUACAAGCCAAUCCUUCUUCCAUCUAUAUAUUUCCUGGGAGAAUUAGUGAAGUACCCAUAGCUAGUGGUAACACUGAUAGUCGAUCUGUAGCUGCAAGUUCGGAGCAUCCAUCCAUCACACACAAGUUUAAUUCGGAUGGCUAGUUCGAGUUCCACAAAUGAAGUAAUACAAGAUGAAAUUACUGUAAACCAAGCUGCAGAGGAUCUCGAGGCUACAGGGGACAGACGAAUGGAUCCAAAAUUAUACAGGUAUGUAACCACUGGUAAAGUAGACCAAAAAAGUGAUUUCCGGGCAAUAAUUACGGCCCCCUUCUGUAAUCCUUUUUCGGUCUUUAGACAAAGAGUAGAGGUCAUGAUCUACCAAAAAAUCUUGGGCUUUUACGAAUGGCUUCUCCAUAUGUAUACAACCUACUGUUAUUCCGGCUUCAGCAUUCCCUCUGAAGUAGAAUUACUGUUACAAAUAAAUGGAGACAAAGUAAGCCCUGGCCAGAAUACAGUGCUUCACCUUGCGGCAAGUGUAGGCAAUACCCAUCUCGUCACACAGAUACUGGAUCGUUUUCCGAAUCUUGUCAAAGUAAAAAACUAUCGUGGAGAUUCUCCGCUUCAUGUUGCAGCACACGGUGGGCAUCUAUCUACGGUGCGCUGUUUGGUUGAAAAGUUGAAGACACUGAUUGGUGAAGAGAAUGCGGUUGGUGAAGAGACUGCGGUUGAUGAAGAGAAUGGUGAAAAGACUGCGGUUGGUGAACAGAAUGCGGAAGGAAACACAGCGUUACACAUUGCCUUAGAAAAUCACCACAAAAAAGUGGCCAAGUUUUUAGUCGAACAAGAUGGAUUGAUCUCGCAUUCCCAAAAUAAAAGCAAAAAGAUACCGUUGUGCAUGGCUGCGGAAGCUGGAAAUCUUGACCUUGUUCAAGUUAUGGUGGUCAAGACACCAGCUGACAGGGCUUCUGUUUGGAAAGAGUCCAGUGGCUGCUCAAUUUUGCGUGCUGCUAUCGUGGGAAGGAAUAAUGAGUGAAGUGGAGUGGAUCGGAAUCACUGUUGAUUCAUUCUUUCGGUGCGGUGCGGCAAGCAAAAGCAAAAUUAGGCUAUAAUCGAGCUUUGUAAUUUUUUUAAAGAGUUAUGUGCUAAAGUAUUGAGGGCAGAGGAUUUGGAACUUCUUGAGAAAAGUGUGUUCAUAACUCUUUGCAAGUUGGAAAAAGUAUUCCCACCAGCAUUUAAGUUCCAUGUAAGUAAAGCAAUAGAGUGUUGGAGGAAGUUCCAUGUAAGUAAAGCAAAGGAAGGAAAAGAAGAACAUUGGAAAAGUGACAAGGCUAAGGAAAUUUAUGAUGAUCUUACUGAAAGAAAGAAUAGAGUGGAAGAAGUGUUUGGUGAAGCUGAUGAUUGGGAAAUAUAUCAGAAAGUGAUUGGUGGGCCUAGUCACGGUCGUGUACUUGGUUUAGGUGCUGGGGUGAAACUAAAAGAUUACAAUUCACCUAACCAAACUUGUAAUAAGCCUACAUGUUUGGAAGAAAAAGAAGAUUAUGAAAGAGUGAAAGGCCAAGUUGAAUCUCUGACAGAUAAAUUGGACAAGUUGACUCAAAUUGUUCAAAGUUUGCUGCCUAAUACCUUAGACAAUUCUAAAGCAAGAAACUCACAUUCUGUGGACAAUAUUGCAACAGAUUCAAGUGCACACCAUGAUGAAGAUGGUACUGAUGAAGAUGGUACUGAAGAUGUUGCUGAUGAAUAUGAUGCAAACUCUAGUUAAGACUUUUAUUAGAUAUAUUGUUAGCUUCUUUGCUUAAGAAUGAUUAUAUUAUAAAGACCAAAUAUUGAAUAUUUAUCUUUAUCUGAACAUGUAUGAAUGAUUAACUAUGUUUCUUCUAAUGCAAUUUUUUU